rnacentral:tmRNA from 1 species
GGGGAUGAAAGGAUUUCGACGGGGAUUGUGCAAUCAAGGAAGCGAGCAGCGGCGCGGACCCGCUAUAAAAGCCGCAGUUUAGAAAUAAACGACACAGAUAAUUAUCAACUCCAAGCUGCUUAAUUAGCGGCUUGCGUACCCCCCGAGAGUACUGCGGCUUGGGAUGGUGCGUCAUUCAGCAGUGCACGUGCAUGCGUUCGUCGUCUUGCGGCGCGUCAUGAAUAAACAGGGCUACCGUAGCGCACAGCCUGCCCGUUGGCGGUGCGUGAAGGGAAUUCCAAACAUCGGGAUACGCUCGUAGAAACCUUGGUGAAUCGAUUUUCGGACGCGGUUUCAAUUACCGCCAUCUCCACCA